rnacentral:rRNA from 1 species
CACGUAGGGUGCGAGCGUUGUCCGGAAUUAUUGGGCGUAAAGAGCUCGUAGGCGGUGUGUCGCGUCGGCCGUGAAAACCUGCAGCUUAACUGUGGGCUUGCGGUCGAUACGGGCAUCACUGGAGUUCGGCAGGGGAGACUGGAAUUCCUGGUGUAGCGGUGAAAUGCGCAGAUAUCAGGAGGAACACCGGUGGCGAAGGCGGCAUCCUGGACCAAUUCUGACGCUGAGUGAGCGAAAGCCAGGGGAGCAAACGGG